rnacentral:SRP_RNA from 1 species
GUUGGGAGUGGUAGCGUGCACCUGUAGUCCCAGCUACAAAGGAGGAUGAGACAGGAGGAUCACUUGAGCCCAGGAGUUCUGCUGACUGGGUAUCCGCACUAAAUGUGACAUCAAUAUGAUGACCUCCCAGGAGUCGGGGACCACUAGGUUGCCUAAGGAGCGAUGAACCAGCCUACGUGGUAAACUCCCAAACUGAUCAGUAGUGGGAUUGUGCCUGUGAACAGCCACUGUAAUCCAGCCUGGGCAACAUAGCGAGACCUCAUCUCU